UACGUAGGGGGCCAGCGUUGUCCGGAAUCAUUGGGCGUAAAGCGCGCGUAGGCGGCCAGAUAAGUCCGGUGUGAAAGUCAAAGGCUCAACCUUUGAAUGCCGCUGGAAACUGCCUGGCUUGAGUCCGGAAGGGGCGAGUGGAACUCCUGGUGUAGCGGUGGAAUGCGCAGAUAUCAGGAAGAACACCAACGGCGAAGGCAGCUCGCUAGGACGGUACUGACGCUAAGGCGCGAAAGCGUGGGGAGCAAACAGG
rnacentral:rRNA from 1 species